rnacentral:rRNA from 1 species
CCUACGGGUGGCUGCAGUGGGGAAUAUUGGACAAUGGGCGAAAGCCUGAUCCAGCCAUGCCGCGUGUGUGAAGAAGGCCUUCGGGUUGUAAAGCACUUUCAGUGGGGAAGAAAGCCUUGGGGCUAAUACCCUCGAGGAAGGACAUCACCCACAGAAGAAGCACCGGCUAACUCCGUGCCAGCAGCCGCGGUAAUACGGAGGGUGCGAGCGUUAAUCGGAAUUACUGGGCGUACAGCGCGCGUAGGCGGUCUGAUAAGCCGGUUGUGAAAGCCCCGGGCUCAACCUGGGAACGGCAUCCGGAACUGUCAGGCUAGAGUGCAGGAGAGGAAGGUAGAAUUCCCGGUGUAGCGGUGAAAUGCGUAGAGAUCGGGAGGAAUACCAGUGGCGAAGGCGGCCUUCUGGACUGACACUGACGCUGAGGUGCGAAAGCGUGGGUAGCAAACAGGAUUAGAUACCCUGGUAGUC